UACGAAGGGUGCAAGCGUUGCUCGGAAUUACUGGGCGUAAAGGGUGCGUAGGUGGUUUGUUAAGUCUGCUGUGAAAUCCCCGGGCUCAACCUGGGAAUGGCAGUGGAUACUGGCAAGCUAGAGUGCGGUAGAGGGUAGUGGAAUUCCCGGUGUAGCAGUGAAAUGCGUAGAGAUCGGGAGGAACACCAGUGGCGAAGGCGGCUACCUGGACCAGCACUGACACUGAAGCACGAAAGCGUGGGGAGCAAACAGG
rnacentral:rRNA from 1 species